rnacentral:rRNA from 1 species
UACAGAGGUCUCAAGCAUUGUUCGGAUUCAUUGGGCGUAAAGGGUGCGUAGGUGGCGCUGUAAGUCAGGUGUGAAAUUUCGGAGCUUAACUCCGAAACUGCAUUUGAUACCGCGGUGCUUGAGGACUGGAGAGGAGACUGGAAUUUACGGUGUAGCAGUGAAAUGCGUAGAGAUCGUAAGGAAGACCAGUGGCGAAGGCGGGUCUCUGGCCCGUAGCUGACGCUCAUGCACGACAGCGUGGGGAUCAAACAGG